CAAAUCUACAACUUUCUGCUGCCUAAACGACGCCGCCGCUGCCGCCAUAUCUACUUCUCAGAUAGAAGUUGUUCGAUUGACUAUGGGAGACAGCGAGAUGGUAGUUGCUGAAACAUCUACAGUCACAGAGUAUGCGACGGCUGGAUAUAAUUCUGCUGGUUAUGGUGAUACCAACUCUAAUAUUGUUCCUGAUUCUAGUAUUUAUGCCACUGAGGGUACUGGAGUUUUUGCUGCUUCUGCAGAUGCAGCUUAUAAUGUACCAGCUGCUCCUAAUUUUGCUGAUGAGAAAAUAUAUGGCACAGAUUCUAAUUCAGUCGUAC
rnacentral:misc_RNA from 1 species